UCAGACCCUUGUCAGCUUAAAAGAUGAUGGGUCAUUGAUUCAGGAACAGGAGUGGGAUGGCAAGAAGACCAUAAUAACACGGAAACUAGUGGAUGGUCAAUUGGUGGUGGAAUGUGACAUGAAUGGUGUCAAGUGUGUUAGAGUCUACCAGAAAGCAUGAGGACAGGUCUUCAUAUUCAGUAAGAACUUGCUACAAACAACUCAGUUCAGUGAACAGAGCUCCUUUACACUCCAUUUUCUUCCUUUUCCCUGUUUUCUAGUAUUUCAAUGGACUGAGUAGCUGUGUGCAAUCCUUUUUAAAAGCCGUGAUGUAACUAUUAUGUAACUAUUCUGAUCUAUUGAGGCUAUUAAAUAAAAUUUUCAAAUAUA